GGGGGAGCUCUCGCAUAGGUCUGCUUAGUAGUAGUAGCGCUUAUAUAUACACAAGUUAAUGCAGAGAGCAGAUAACAGUGAUUCGAGAUGCUCCGGGAGAAAUUAAUCUAUCUUGUUUAAUAUUCUUUGCAGACUACUAUUAGGCUGAAUCAAAACCUGCCAGACUAAAGUUGAUUUUGCGUGAGAAAGAUGUUGAAAACUCUGAAUCAUCUUGACAUUCUUCAAUGAGUAAUUGUUCCAUUUUUACGCAAAUAGUGUACACUAUGAAUGCUGUGAAUAAACAUAUAUUUAAAUAUAA